UAGUAUGUGAAAUUCGCUGCGGCUAAUGCAAAUUUUUUUUUUUUACAAGUUCAAUCCCACGUAGAACAAUGCAAGUGAGCAUGUAUCUCAAAUCAAAAGAUAAAAUAAAAUUCCACUCAUUUGGAUAAUGAUACUUUUAAAACCGUAUUGAUUUUUUCACUACAUACUAUUUUAUUAUAUUUAUUAUGAAGUAUCAGUCCAAUUGAGUCGAUGGUUUUGCAAGUUUUGAGAUUUUUUGUAAAUAGGCAAAUCUCCUUAAGUCCCUACUUCCCCAUAUAAAUCAUCUUGGGUUCUAGUGUGGUUUUCCCCCCAUCUUAUUCACAUAUCCACCCUCCCCCACCCCACAUGCAUGCUCCGAACCCCUCUAAAUCCAUCUCAAAUAUUGCAACCAGUAACUCUUUUAACAUUUUCAGAUUUCGCUAGUUUUCAGUUUCAUUUUCUGGAGUACAGUCCCGCAGGUAUACAUAUCUCAAGAAACUCUUUCUUGGAGCUAUCUCCAUUUGCAUUAUCGUUUUUUCUUCAACUAAAGAUGGAAAUUUUUAUAUUCUUCUUUCUUUUACAUCAGGAUUGAUUCACAUAUUUCAAUCUGUUCUUCUUUCUGUACACAAUAACAUGUUCUUAAAAUCUUUAUUCAUAAUCAAUAUAUCAGUUUCAUUUUAAAGUCCUGGGAACAAACAAGUCCUUUCUUGAACUUUCUUGACAUGAAGUUGAUCGUAGUAGCCAUUUCAGUUUCAUCUUCUAAGAAAGAAUAGGAGAUUGCAUAUAUUUCAUAUCUAGUUCAGAACACUAUUGUGCAUUACACAUUUGAGUGAUCUUCAUUUUUUUGGUAUUUAAAAUCUAUGUUCUUGAUUUCUUGAUAUAGGAGAUUCAUCCUACAGUCACAGGAAGUCUCUCAAGACUAGUUUCUUGAAUUCUUCCUGAAUCUUGGAUCGUUGCCUUGUUAGAAGAUGUUGCACUUUUUCAAGAAAAGGGCUCGAGAGGAAGGCUUAUAUCCGCCUCCUCGCGACCCUCCCCAAGAACAUCCAACUGUGGACCAGCAAGACAACAUUGAUUUUCAAGAGAAUCAAGGGCCGCGUGCUUUGUUUGCGCAGAAGGUACAGAAUCCCGGAGUUAGAGGUCCAAUAGAAGAACACGUAGGAAUGACCCCUCCAACGCUAUCAAAACUUUUUGGGCGAUUCCGCCAAGAAAGAACUUGGAUCAGAAGAAUCCGAAGGAGUUUCACAUAUCGAAGACCAUAGCAAGCUCAGGAACAUGAAGGACCAUCUGAUUCAUUAGUGCAUAAGGUAAAUAAUCUUGGAGUUGGAGGUCCGGUAGCAGAACAGGUAGAAAUGAACAGUUCAAACUAUCAAUCUUUUUUCUUUUCUUUUUCUUGGGUGAAAUUCCCCCAAGGGAGAACUUGAAUCAGAAGGAUCCAAAGGAGUUUCACAAAUAGAAGAUGACAAAGUGAUCAAGCAGAAGUCCAACCAAUUGUUCCAGGAUGGAACGAAGCCAAUGUGGUUCGAAAUGAAGACAAUUGAGAAGCUGAAAGCAUCAAUGAAUUUCAUCCUAGAAACCAAUGAAAAUAAGAAAGAAGUCGUAGAUAGAAAGAGUUGCUAGGAAAUGUCUUAGAAAAUGUGUGUGUGAUUUAAGGGGUGGGGAUUAACUCUACUAUGCCGACUCUAUUUCUUGAUUCCUUUUUGUUUUUUACUUAGUCCUUUGCUUAUUGAUUCCUGCUACGUACGAUCUUCUAUCAUCUACGAAUCUUAUGGUACUGUCCAGUUAUUUUGCUUGCUUAAAGGCUUUUCCCCAAGUAAUAAGUCUUCAUAAUGUAUAAUAAUAUGCAGUUGGACAUUAUCUUUUGUUAUGGAUUUAAUUUUUAUUCUGGCAUGAUUAAUAUUACAAAAAUGUAGGAAUAACAAUUCAAUCUUUACAUAUCAAUAAAAGAUCUAAUAGUUUUUGUUUUGUUCCAGAAAUUACUAUUUAUUACUGUUCUCUAUCCAGGCAUCAAGAAUUCUAACCUCAUUAGUUGUAUGACACCAUAUAAUCAUAUCAGUAACUUGCAUAAAAUUUCCCUGAGGGUGAUAGGACUAAACUACAUCAAAAGUUGAAAAAAACAGAGAGACUAACCGCACAUAUAUCAAGCAUCGUCUCAGUGUCACAAAGUCCAAAACUGCUCAAUCAACUCUUGUAUGCUAGACAACUCCUCUUGUGCGUCAAGUACCAUUUUGUAUGAUUCCUUUUCACUUCUGCUGAGAUGGUAGGAAGACGAUACAUUCCAGAGUCCAAUCUAGCGCAGUCAACAAGAUUUAGCCUUGAUAACAUUUCACAGUUGGCCAUAAUAGUCUCUACCCCCUCCUUCUGUACCCCGGCACUUGUAAUUGUCAAAACUCGAAGCUGACGAAGAUCUCUAACGUGCAAGGAAAUAAUAUUGUCGAACUUAAGGCUGGAUUCUCCAGAGAAUGGCAGUUCAAAACCAGAUAGAAUUCAAGCUCCUGCAGUUUGUGCGACUUCCUAUUGAUAACUCUUCCAGCUUCUUCCAAUUCCUGCUAGCCCUUAUAAAUCCCCCGCGCUGAACAGUCUUAACUUUUUAAGAUUUGGUAACCUGAUGCAAAUUUAAAAAGACGUAGAGACAACAAAUCAUAAGACGGUACAAAUUGCCCAUGAAUAUUUCCCAUGGAGGAGAAUUCAGAAAAUAGGCUGCAA